UGAUCUCUGAUGCUUUCUGAAAUCAUAGAAGGCACCAGAAUGUUCUUGGAUCAGUGUCUUCCUGCCGUCUACCCUCACCAGCUGCCACAGAAUGUGGGGACAGGGCAGGAUGUGGAUUGCUGGUCUGUUCUUCAGGUCUAUAUAUGGAUGGGAAUCUGAUUUUGAAAGCACAGCAAAUGAAAAGAGGCACUGAGGCAGAUGGAAUGGCCCACCACUCCCUAGGGCACUGGGCAGGUGUGAAGCACUGUUAAAGUCACUGUUAGUAUUAACAAGUCAAGAAUAGAAAAGCUCAAGAAACAGAACUACAUCUAUGAAAAUGUUUGUAGGUGUCACUGCAGGCCUGCUGGAAUUUGAUGCUGAAGCUUCUGCAUUCCUACAUGGGCCAAGAGGUUCUGGAAACACACUCAUAUACUUCCUAAGACCAGAGAGUCCUCUGUGGUAGACCCUUCCCCACCUGUCCCACCAAGACUCCAGGUGAAUGUGAACUUAAUCACAGCAACAGUCUCAGUUUUUGGAAACCCAUCCAAAGCCAGUCAUUACAAUCAUCUUCACCACACUUCCAGCAGAUGAAAAGGCAGUGUGCAGAACCAGCUGCCUAGAUUAAAGCAGUGUGCUAAAGGAAAUAAGGAACAGUCAGGAUUUCCAAUUACUGCUAACAAGAGCGUGUUUAGAAGGGAGGAAAUUAAUGGAAUCAUCAAAAGACUGGUGAUUUUACUUAAAAUGAAUCAAACCAA